rnacentral:tmRNA from 1 species
GGGGUUGACUGGAUUUGACAGCGGGCCGGGAUGGUGCGUAAGCAUGCGGAGUUAAGACUGUGUCCUCCAUAAUCACGUCGGUCAAAAAUUUAAUUGGCGAAACACGUUACGCUCUCGCUGCUUAAACCGAAGUAUAGUAGGUUUGCUUAAUUUCUGCGCAAGGCGCGGAAACGGGACAUCGCUCAGAGCCACUCUUCCUGAGGCUUAACUGGUUAUAGCGGUGCAGAAAUAUCGGGAAUAGCAUGGAUUGUGCCUCGGUGUCUGUGUGAAAUUUUUAGGGGCUAAGGCAGUACUUGGUGGUCCGGGUCUUGGUACUGCUCGAAAAUGAAGUCCGGAAUAAGCAUGUAGAAAGCGUACGGUCACACCGUUUGGACGGGAGUUCGAUUCUCCCCAGCUCCACU